GCACAGUGGUUAAAGCACUUGGCUGUGAACCAAAAGGUGGCAGUUCAAACCUGCC
rnacentral:tRNA from 1 species